AUAAAAAAUUUUAUAUAUAUAUAUAUAUAUAUAGUUUAUUGAUUAAAAUAAAUAAUUUUUUUUUUAUUAAAAUUUAGAAAAAAUUUUUUUUAUGAUAGAUUAUUAGUAUUGAGAAAGAAUAAUUUUAAAUUAUUAAAAGAAAAAUUUAAUUUUUGUACCUUGUGUAUCAGGAUGGAUUAAAUAAAUUAAUUAUUUAAAUAUCUCGAAUUUAAAAGAGCUAAAUAUUUAUAUUUUUUAAUGUAAAAUAAUUAUUAUAAAUAAAUAUUUAGUAAUGAAAUGUUAUUCGUUUUUAAAUAUAUCUAGUUUUUUAAGAAAAAAUUUAAAUUUUAUUUAUAUUUUUAUUUUUAAAUUUUUAUUUGGUAUAUAGGUAUAGUUAAAUAAUUAUAGGGAUAAGCUUAUAAUUAUAUUUUGAUAAAUAGAUUGUUUAAUUUAAUUUGUAGAAUUAGAAUUAUUUAUUAUUUAAAUUAUGUUAUAAUUUAUUAAAUAUUAUUUUAUAUUUUAUUAAUUUUCAUUUUUUUAUUAAAAUAUUAAUAUAAAUUUUGAAUAUUAAAAUUUAAUGAUUUAAUUAGUAUAAAGGAUUAUAAAAAUAGGUUUAAUUGAAAUGUUUAAAUAAGGAAUUAGGCAAAUAAUUUUUUACCUGUUUAUUAAAAACAUGUCUUUUUGAGUAUAAUUUAAAGUUUGACCUGCCCACUGAAGAUUAAAUGGCCGCGGUAUUUUGACCGUGCAAAGGUAGCAUAAUCAAUAGUUUUUUAAUUGAAAGCUGGAAUGAAAGGUUAGAUAAGAAAAAUACUUUCUAAUAUUAAUUUAUAGAAAUUUAUUUUUAAGUUAAAAAGCUUAAAUAUUAUUAAGGGACGAGAAGACCCUAUAGAGUUUAAUAUUUAUUGGAAAUAAUUUUUUUUGUAUUAAUAAUUUUAUUUUUAAUAAAUAUUUAAUUGGGGCGAUUGAAAAAUAAAUAAACUUUUUUUUUAAAAAUUCAUUAAUAUAUGUUUUGUUGAUCCAUGAUUUAUGAUUAUAAGAUUAAAUUACCUUAGGGAUAACAGCGUAAUUUUUUUUGAGAGUUCUUAUUGAAAAAAGAGAUUGCGACCUCGAUGUUGGAUUAAGAUAAAAUUUUGGUGAAGAAGCUGAAUUUUUAAGUCUGUUCGACUUAUAAAAUCUUACAUGAUCUGAGUUUAAACCGGUGUAAGCCAGGUUGGUUUCUAUCUUUAAUUAAAUUAAAAUAUUUUAGUACGAAAGGACCAAAUAUUGGAUUAAUAAUUUUAUUAUUGAUUAUUAAU
rnacentral:rRNA from 1 species